GGACUGAGUAUCAAAACCUUAUAAAAACAGAGAAGCGGGGAGUGGCUGGCUUAGUGUUCCGCACAGUUAGUGUUUUCAGGAGGAACACAGUGAGUACAGUAUUGGAGACCGGAAGAGCAC